GACGAACGCUGGCGGCAUGCCUAAUACAUGCAAGUCGAGCGAACGGAUGAAGUGCUUGCACUUCUGACGUUAGCGGCGAACGGGUGAGUAACACGUAAGGAAUCUACCUAUAAGCGGGGGAUAACAUUCGGAAACGGGUGCUAAUACCGCAUAAUAUCUUCUUCCGCAUGGAAGAAGAUUGAAAGACGGCUCUGCUGUCACUUAUAGAUGACCUUGCGGUGCAUUAGUUAGUUGGUGGGGUAAUGGCCUACCAAGACGAUGAUGCAUAGCCGACCUGGGAGGGUGAUCGGCAACAUUGGGACUGAGACACGGCCCAAAAUCCUACGGGAGGCAGCAGUAGGGAAUCUUCCGCAAUGGGCGAAAGCCUGACGGAGCAAUGCCGCGUGAGUGAAGAAGGCCUUCGGGUCGUAAAACUCUGUUAUAAGAGAAGAACAAAUUGUAGAGUAACUGCUACAGUCUUGACGGUAUCUUAUCAGAAAGCCACGGCUAACUACGUGCCAGCCGCCGCAGUAA
rnacentral:rRNA from 1 species